CGCACAUUGCGCCCCUCGGUAUCCCGAGGGGCAUACCUGUCCGAGCGUCAUUACACCCCUCAAGCGUAGCUUGGUAUUGGGCCUCGCUCCCGCCCAGGGGGCGUGCCUGCAAAGUAGUGGUGGUCCGGUGCGACCUUGAACGUAGUAAAUCACCUCCCGUUCUGAAGGCUCUCACCGCGACCUGCCAGAAUGCGCCACCUCAACGAUUGACCUCGGAUCAGGUAGGGAUACCCGCUGAACUUAA
rnacentral:misc_RNA from 1 species